rnacentral:rRNA from 1 species
AACGUAGGGGACAAGCGUUAUCCGGAUUUACUGGGCGUAAAGCGCCCGUAGGCGGCCUGGCAAGUUGGCUGUGAAAGCUCCCGGCUUAACUGGGAGAGGUCAGUCAAAACUGUGAGGCUGGAGGCUGAAAUAGGAGAGCGGAAUUCCCGGUGUAGUGGUGGAAUGCGUAGAGAUCGGGAGGAACACCAGUGGCGAAAGCGGCUCUCUGGUUCAGCCCUGACGCUGAGGGGCGAAAGCGUGGGGAGCGAACGGGAUUAGAAACCCCCGUAGUCC